UGGGGAAUAUUGGACAAUGGGGGCAACCCUGAUCCAGCCAUGCCGCGUGUGUGAAGAAGGUCUUAGGAUUGUAAAGCACUUUAAGUUGGGAGGAAGGGUUGUAGAUUAAUACUCUGCAAUUUUGACGUUACCGACAGAAUAAGCACCGGCUAACUUCGUGCCAGCAGCCGCGGUAAUACGAAGGGUGCAAGCGUUAAUCGGAAUUACUGGGCGUAAAGCGCGCGUAGGUGGUUCGUUAAGUUAGGAGUGAAAGCCCCGGGCUCAACCUGGGAAUUGCUUCUAAAACUGGCGGACUAGAGUAUGGUAGAGGGUGGUGGAAUUUCCUGUGUAGCGGUGAAAUGCGUAGAUAUAGGAAGGAACAUCAGUGGCGAAGGCGACCACCUGGACUGAUACUGACACUGAGGUGCGAAAGCGUGGGGAGCAAACAGG
rnacentral:rRNA from 2 species